UACGGGGGGAGCAAGCGUUGUUCGGAUUUACUGGGCGUAAAGGGCGCGUAGGCGGCCACCGCAAGUCGACUGUGAAAUCUCCGGGCUUAACUCGGAAAGGUCAGCCGAUACUGCGGGGCUAGAGUGCAGAAGGGGCAACUGGAAUUCCCGGUGUAGCGGUGAAAUGCGUAGAGAUCGGGAGGAACACCGGUGGCGAAGGCGGAUCUCUGGGCCGAUACUGACGCUGAGGAGCGAAAGCGUGGGGAGCGAACAGG
rnacentral:rRNA from 1 species